UACGAAGGGUGCAAGCGUUACUCGGAAUUACUGGGUGUAAAGCGUGCGUAGGUGGUUUGUUAAGUCUGCUGUGAAAGCCCCGGGCUCAACCUGGGAAUGGCAGUGGAUACUGGCAAGCUAGAGUGCGAUAGAGGGGUGUGGAAUUCCCGGUGUAGCGGUGAAAUGCGUAGAGAUCGGGGGGAACACCGGUGGCGAAGGCGGCGUUCUGGACGGCAUCUGACACUGAGAAACGAAAGCCAGGGGAGCAAACGGG
rnacentral:rRNA from 1 species